CUUCCCCACGAACCUUCCUCCAGCAUACUCUAAAAUUAAAUAAAUAUAAAUUCCACUUUCAAUUCACCGUCUAACCGGGAAAAAACAACUCCGUUGCCGGAAAAUAUUAUUUAAUUAAUCAAUCUAGGGUUUUGGAGAAAAUUGCAUUGAAGCAAUGGCGAAAGGGAGGUUAAAUCGGCAUCAAGGAAAGAGAUCAUCAACAGUGGUUUUAGUCCUUUCAAUGCUUUUAAUGCUAACAGUUGUUCUUCUAAUGCUUCUCGCUUUAGGCAUUUUUAAUCUUCCUGUUGGUUCCGAUGAUGAAACGUCCUCUAUUCACGAUCACAUCAAGUUCAAACGCUUCAAUUUAGAUAUAGGUGAAGGCGAUGGACUAGGGAAAAGAGGGGAACAGUGGACGGAGAUCUUAUCUUGGGAGCCUCGUGCCUUUCUUUACCACAAUUUCUUGUCCAAGGAAGAAUGUGAAUACUUGAUAAAUCAAGCUAAACCUCACAUGGCGAAGUCAACAGUUGUUGAUAGCAAAACCGGUCAGAGUAAAGAUAGCAGGGUUCGUACAAGUUCAGGAAUGUUUUUGAGGAGGGGACGAGAUAAAAUUAUCAGAAAUAUUGAGAAGAGGAUAGCAGAUUUUUCAUUCAUUCCUGUAGAACACGGAGAAGGUCUACAAGUUUUACAUUACGAAGCUGGACAAAAGUAUGAGCCUCAUUUUGACUACUUUCUUGAUGAAUUCAACACCCAAAAUGGGGGCCAACGCAUAGCUACUGUUCUCAUGUAUCUAUCAGAUGUUGAAGAAGGGGGUGAAACUGUUUUUCCAGCAGCAAAGGGAAACUUCAGUUCCCGUCCGGGGUGGAACGAGUUGUCAGAAUGUGCUAAAAAGGGCCUCUCUGUCAAACCAAAGAUGGGCGAUGCUUUGCUUUUCUGGAGCAUGCGGCCUGAUGCUUCUUUGGAUCCGUCAAGUUUGCACGGUGGUUGCCCUGUGAUUAAAGGGAACAAAUGGUCGUCUACCAAGUGGAUGCAUGUUGGUGAAUACAAGAAUUAAUUCUCUUUCAAAAAGUGUCUCAAACUCUCAAAGUGCUAUGCAUAAGUAGUAUCUGGAGUAAAAAAUGGCUGAAGAUGUUCAUCUAGUUUCGGUGCAGUGAGAUGACUACCAUCAUUCAGAAAAACCAACUCCAUCUUGCUCUCUCUCAAAUUGAAUGCAAUUCAUUUCUUCGGCUCUGGUAGCCAGAGAGAAGAAGAAAGCUUUCAUCUUGGGAUUCAACGAAGAAAUGUAAUGAUUUUAUAUAAAUCUUGGCUGUGUUAGGGCCUUCCCGAUUUGGAUUAUAGCAUGCUAACCCCUAAUUCUCCUCAACUUGGAAGCUCUUUGUUAUAUCACUUUACAACAACUGAAGAUACUUAGGCGAGUUACAGGCGGUGAUGGAUCCCAACCAUAUUGUAGUUGUGGAGAAUGGUGCUUGCUUGGGCUGUUUAGACUUCUGCUGCUGCUGUGAUGCUUAUUGCCAGACUUCCAUUAACAUAUACGCAGGCCAUUUGCUUGCCAGUUUUGAAGAAUUAAUGCAUAUUUGUGGUUUCUUUUAUAUUGUUCUAAUAGUUUAUUUAGCUCAGAAUAGUUGGCGGCGAACUGUAUCAGAAAUCAGAGUUUAGAUUAUGUGAUCUAUUAUGGUGCUAGGUUUUAGAGCUCGUCUGAUUUACUACAAUAUUGUUCUUA